GGUGGGGUAACGGCUCACCUAGGCGACGAUCCCUAGCUGGUCUGAGAGGAUGACCAGCCACACUGGAACUGAGACACGGUCCAAACUCCUACGGGAGGCAGCAGUGGGGAAUAUUGCACAAUGGGCGCAAGCCUGAUGCAGCCAUGCCGCGUGUAUGAAGAAGGCCUUCGGGUUGUAAAGUACUUUCAGCGAGGAGGAAGGUGUUGUGGUUAAUAACCGCAGCAAUUGACGUUACUCGCAGAAGAAGCACCGGCUAACUCCGUGCCAGCAGCCGCGGUAAUACGGAGGGUGCAAGCGUUAAUCGGAAUUACUGGGCGUAAAGCGCACGCAGGCGGUCUGUCAAGUCGGAUGUGAAAUCCCCGGGCUCAACCUGGGAACUGCAUCCGAAACUGGCAGGCUAGAGUCUUGU
rnacentral:rRNA from 1 species